rnacentral:rRNA from 1 species
GCGCAGUAGGGAAUCUUCCACAAUGGACGAAAGUCUGAUGGAGCAACGCCGCGUGAGUGAAGAAGGGUUUCGGCUCGUAAAGCUCUGUUGGUAGUGAAGAAAGAUAGAGGUAGUAACUGGCCUUUAUUUGACGGUAAUUACUUAGAAAGUCACGGCUAACUACGUGCC